CUGUGGAUUGUAAACCUCUUUUKAUAGGGAAGAAGACAGUGACGGUACCUAUCGAAUCAGCCUCGGCUAACUCCGUGCCAGCAGCCGCGGUAAUACGGAGGAGGCAAGCGUUAUCCGGAAUUAUUGGGCGUAAAGAGUCCGUAGGUGGGUCACCCAGUCAGCUGUUAAAUAGUGAAGCUUAACUUCAUAGAGGCGGCUGAAACUGGUGGUCUAGAGAGUGGUAGGGGUAGAGGGAAUUUCCAGUGUAGCGGUGAAAUGCGUAGAUAUUGGAAAGAACACCGGUGGCGAAAGCGCUCUACUGGGCCAUAACUGACAC
rnacentral:rRNA from 1 species